rnacentral:rRNA from 1 species
AUUGAACGCUGGCGGCAUGCCUUACACAUGCAAGUCGAACGGUAACAGGUCUUCGGAUGCUGACGAGUGGCGAACGGGUGAGUAAUACAUCGGAACGUGCCCGAUCGUGGGGGAUAACGAAGCGAAAGCUUUGCUAAUACCGCAUAGGAUCUACGGAGGAAAGCAGGGGACCGCAAGGCCUUGCGCGACCGGAGCGGCUGAUGGCAGAUUAGGUAGUUGGUGGGAUAUAAGCUUACCAAGCCGACGAUCUGUAGCUGGUCUGAGAGGAUGACCAGCCACACUGGGACUGAGACACGGCCCAGACUCCUACGGGAGGCAGCAGUGGGGAAUUUUGGACAAUGGGCGAAAGCCUGAUCCAGCCAUGCCGCGUGGAGGAUGAAGGCCUUCGGGUUGUAAACUGCUUUUGUACGGAACGAAAAGCCUCAGGUUAAUACCUCGCGUCCAUGACGGUACCGUAAGAAUAAGCACCGGCUAACUACGUG